rnacentral:rRNA from 1 species
GGUCCGGUUCGAGGAACCAACAGGGAUUGCCUUAGUAGCGGCGAGUGAAGCGGCAAAAGCUCAAAUUUGAAAUCUGGCUCUUUCAGAGUCCGAGUUGUAAUUUGAAGAAGGUAUCUUUGGGUCUGGCUCUUGUCUAUGUUUCUUGGAACAGAACGUCACAGAGGGUGAGAAUCCCGUGCGAUGAGAUGAUCCAGGCCUAUGUAAAGUUCCUUCGAAGAGUCGAGUUGUUUGGGAAUGCAGCUCUAAGUGGGUGGUAAAUUCCAUCUAAAGCUAAAUAUUGGCGAGAGACCGAUAGCGAACAAGUACAGUGAUGGAAAGAUGAAAAGAACUUUGAAAAGAGAGUGAAAAAGUACGUGAAAUUGUUGAAAGGGAAGGGCUUGAGAUCAGACUUGGUAUUUUGUAUGUUACUUCUUCGGGGGUGGCCUCUACAGUUUAUCGGGCCAGCAUCAGUUUGGGCGGUAGGAGAAUUGCGUUGGAAUGUGGCACGGCUUCGGUUGUGUGUUAUAGCCUUCGUCGAUACUGCCAGCCUAGACUGAGGACUGCGGUUUAUACCUAGGAUGUUGGCAUAAUGAUCUUAAGUCGCCCGUCUUGAACCACGGGACCAAAAUAUU